CUAGGACCCAGGGCAGGGCAGGCAUGGCCAUGGAGGAGGGGUGACCUCCACAUAUCAGCUGAUGAAGCCCCCCAACGUUGACUUGGCUGCUAAGACUGAUUUCCCCAGACCCAUGAAGAAAGGCCCCAGCCCUGAGUGGCUCCCUGCUUUGGAAAAUAACGUCAGUGACAACCCUGUGCAGGCACAGUCCAGGGAAGAGAGGCUCUGGGGUUGGCAUGCCCCUGCCCUCCCUGGGCCUUUCUGCAAGUGAGGAGUGGACCAUGGCGGUGGGUGGGCAGAAGGACGUCUGUAUACCCUUCCUGGAAGCCCCGCCUAGCCCUCAAGAGGUUCUUGAUCCAAGGAGGAGGACAUGGUGAGAGACAGCAUGUAAACCAAAGAAGCAUCAUCUUUCCUCAGGCUCAAGAAAAAAUAGAAUCACUAGGCAUGGUGGCACACACCUGUGAUCCCAGCACUCAGGAAGCAGAGGCAGGAGGAUCGCCAGGAGUUCAAGCCCAGCCUGAAUUACAGAGCAAGACCCUGUCUCAAAAGGGG
rnacentral:lncRNA from 1 species